CUGGUCUGAGAGGAUGAUCAGCCACACUGGGACUGAGACACGGCCCAGACUCCUACGGGAGGCAGCAGUGGGGAAUAUUGGACAAUGGGCGAAAGCCUGAUCCAGCCAUGCCGCGUGUGUGAAGAAGGCCUUUUGGUUGUAAAGCACUUUAAGUGGGGAGGAAAAGCUUAUGGUUAAUACCCAUAAGCCCUGACGUUACCCACAGAAUAAGCACCGGCUAACUCUGUGCCAGCAGCCGCGGUAAUACAGAGGGUGCAAGCGUUAAUCGGAAUUACUGGGCGUAAAGCGCGCGUAGGUGGUUAUUUAAGUCAGAUGUGAAAGCCCCGGGCUUAACCUGGGAACUGCAUCUGAUACUGGAUAACUAGAGUAGGUGAGAGGGGAGUAGAAUUCCAGGUGUAGCGGUGAAAUGCGUAGAGAUCUGGAGGAAUACCGAUGGCGAAGGCAGCUCCCUGGCAUCAUACUGACACUGAGGUGCGAAAGCGUGGGUAGCAAACAGGAUUAGAUACCCUGGUAGUCCACGCCGUAAACGAUGUCUACCAGUCGUUGGGUCUUUUAAAGACUUAGUGACGCAGUUAACGCAAUAAGUAGACCGCCUGGGGAGUA
rnacentral:rRNA from 1 species